GAAUUACUUACUGCAUUGUGAGACCACAAUAUCUGAUGGCCAGUAACAGCAACAAGAUCACAUGGGAUGCAGAGGAACAGAGAAUACUGCUCGGAGGAUAAAAACGAGCCAACUGAAGAAGACCUGGUGUUGGCUACACCAGACAAAGGUCUACACAACCGUUUCAAUGGGGCUCGAAAGCUAAUGAAGGGUGUGGAGUGUAUCAAAAACCGCCAUAUGAACAAUACUGAAGUAGCAACCAAAAAACCUAGAAAGGACAACAAAGAGAAAUCCUGGAAGUGAAACAAAAAGAGAAUGAAAGACUGGCCAGAAGGCUUCAAACGCGGAACUGAACCGGCAGAAGACUCUCUGAGAUCAAAACUGGGACUAUGCAAAUGAGUGAAUCUAAAGAAAAGAAAGAAGAAAAGAUGGAAUAAUGGGGAAUAUAGUAUUGGGGACUUGGUGAAAACUCCCCAAAUUUGAUGAAAGAAAGAAACCAUCUAAGAAGCUGAGUUUAAUCCAUGUAGGCAGAACUAUGUCCAAAUGAAAGACGCAUGUUAUAACCAAGCUAUUGGAAGACAAAGAUAAGAUGACUUAAAAUCAGUAAGAGAGAAAUUAAGACAGAUAAGAGGGGCCCACCUCUCCUUUGUGGCACUGGAAUAGGAGUGAAGUACUAUUAAGGCACUAUUGAAUUCUGUUAAAGUUAAUCGUAAGACUUUAUCACAAGCAUUCCUUUGAAUGUUGUAAAGGAUCACACAGAAACACAGAGCCGAUCAAGGAUUGCCCACAGAGGGGAGAGGAGCGCUGUGGGAAGAUGGGGUAAUGGCAGGCCACUGUCAAUGAAUACAAGGUUUCUUCUGGGGAGUUUAAAACGUAAGAUGACAUUGUGUUCACACAGGCUCAACUGUUCAAACCCAUUUGCCUUAUUGUGUAGAAAGGUUAGGGCUAUAGUGUGUCACUUAUGUCUGCAAACUUGUAGCCAGAGGGGCAGAAGGAUUCGGGAAAGGCAUUUUUAGAAAAGAGAACCUGAUGCAAUUCGUCUCCAAGAUCUCCUGCUAAAACAAAGAUUAGAUGGAGCUGGAGAGGUGGCUCAGUGGUUAAGAACACUCCCAGCUCUGUGAUUUAGGUUGCUAGUACCUGAUAUCAGGCAGCUUAGAACUGUUUGUAGCUCCAGCCCUGGGGAUUUAACACCUCUUCUAGUUUCUAGGGGCACUGCACAAAUAUGCAUAGUACACACACACACAUUCUUAACUCGUAUAUGUAUAUGUAUAUGUAUAUGUAUAUGUAUAUGUAUAUGUAUAUGUAUAUGUAUAUGUAUAUGUAUAUGAUGUAUACACACACACACACACAUACACACACACACACACACACAUACACUGAUCCAUACGCUCACAUACAUUCACUCACAUGCACAAUUUUUAAAACAGCUACUAAGGAAAGAUGAUUCAUUUGUGAGAUAGAGGGAGACGUAGUCAGGAACAGAGAGCAAUAUAAAUGUGGGAGAUCCUAACACCAUUAGGGGGUGGCAGGGUGGAUUCAAACCCGAGGCCCCCUACACACACAGCACAAGUCUACACCCCAGUCCUGUUCUCCAAACCCCAGAUACCCACAUCCGUCCAGCCCAGAAUCUUUGCAGAUGUUGUUCCCACUGGGUACCAGGUUCCCUGCCUCCAGCUCCGCGGUGGUCUCCUGACCCUCCUCAUCCUUCCGACUUCAGCUUAGACUCCCCUGGAAGGCUCCCAGGCCCUCAGCCCAGGAGUUUACAACCUAAAGAGAAAAGCAUGACAAGAGUGACCAGUGAUGGGACGAGAGACCAGUGACCAGUGACGAGAGAGCUGAAGGGGAAGCAGUCCUGGAGUGGAGAGGCUUCGAACACUAUACCGCAGAGGAGGCUGGUUCGCCUGCCCUCAGCAGCCUGGAACCUUGGAUUUGGGACAGCUCAACUUGCAUGCUUCAUGCAGCAGCUGUGCUCUGACCUGAGGGAAGAAACAGGGCCCAAACCGGAGUGGCCCAGCGCAGGAACGCAGCCCCCGGGGUCCAGCCAUCUGAAAAACAGGCUGAAGGACCCUCACAUCAUGAACCACUCCACACAGCCACCCCCUCGGAGGGAAACUCACUCAGGCAUGGCCAUCUCGACAUUGCUAUGCGCUUUACCUCGUGUUAAAAUUCUGAACGUUCACAUUGUUGAAACAACACUGGGAGAGAGAAAGUGUGUUUGUGGGGGUCUAAGUGUUUUACAGCGGCAAAGUUAGCUAAGUUAGAAAACUAAUCAAGAGAUGUUUACAAUAUCAUUUAUGCACGAGUUAGCUUCCGAAUCAUCCCUUGGAUGAAUGCUGCUCAUAUUAACCUUUACAAGUAGCUCCUGGCUUGUUACAUAUCCUGCUCUUGCUUCAUAUCUCAAAAAUGCUGUCACAAAAAACUCCAAAUUUGCCACGGACUGCACACAUAUUGAGCCAAAUGUAAAGAGUUCCCAUAAGGCCCUGCCCGUGAACAGGCUUCCAUUGUUCUUUCUAGGGGUGUAUAACUUGGGUGGAGAAACCUGAGGGGAGAGCAGGAGAAAUGGGCCAGGGUGGUUGCUCCUGCACAGCGCCUGGAUUCAGUUCCUAGCAGUCACUCAGCGGUUCACAACCUACCACAACUCAAGUGCUAAGAGACCCAAUGCCUUUUUCUGAUCUCCCUGGAUACCUACCAGGUGCACAAACACACACACACAUACACACACGCACACACACACACACGCGCG